AGUGAACGCUGGCGGUAGGCCUAACACAUGCAAGUCGAACGGCAGCACAGUAAGAGCUUGCUCCUACGGGUGGCGAGUGGCGGACGGGUGAGGAAUACAUCGGAAUCUACUUUUUCGUGGGGGAUAACGUAGGGAAACUUACGCUAAUACCGCAUACGACCUACGGGUGAAAGCAGGGGAGCUUCGGACCUUGCGCGAUUGAAUGAGCCGAUGUCGGAUUAGCUAGUUGGCGGGGUAAAGGCCCACCAAGGCGACGAUCCGUAGCUGGUCUGAGAGGAUGAUCAGCCACACUGGAACUGAGACACGGUCCAGACUCCUACGGGAGGCAGCAGUGGGGAAUAUUGGACAAUGGGCGCAAGCCUGAUCCAGCCAUACCGCGUGGGUGAAGAAGGCCUUCGGGUUGUAAAGCCCUUUUGUUGGGAAAGAAAAGCAGCAGGUUAAUACCCCGCUGUUCUGACGGUACCCAAAGAAUAAGCACCGGCUAACUUCGUG
rnacentral:rRNA from 1 species